rnacentral:rRNA from 1 species
ACUCCUACGGGAGGCAGCAGUGGGGAAUCUUGGACAAUGGGCGCAAGCCUGAUCCAGCCAUGCCGCGUGAGUGAUGAAGGCCUUAGGGUCGUAAAGCUCUUUCGCCAGGGAUGAUAAUGACAGUACCUGGUAAAGAAACCCCGGCUAACUCCGUGCCAGCAGCCGCGGUAAUACGGAGGGGUUAGCGUUGUUCGGAAUUACUGGGGCGUAAAGCGCGCGUAGGCGGACCAGAAAGUUGGGGGUGAAAUCCCGGGGGCUCAACCCCGGAACUGCCUCCAAAACUCCUGGUCUAGAGUUCGAGAGAGGUGAGUGGAAUUCCGAGUGUAGAGGUGAAAUUCGUAGAUAUUCGGAGGAACACCAGUGGCGAAGGCGGCUCACUGGCUCGAUACUGACGCUGAGGUGCGAAAGUGUGGGGAGCAAACAGGAUUAGAUACCCUGGUAGGAUAGCG